UACGUAGGAUGCAAGCGUUGUCCGGAAUUAUUGGGCGUAAAGAGUUCGUAGGCGGUUGCCUAAGUCUGGUGUUAAAUACAGGAGCUCAACUCCUGCAUGGCACUGGAAACUGGGCAGCUAGAGUGUGGUAGAGGUCACGGGAAUUCCAGGUGUAGCGGUGAAAUGCGUAGAUAUCUGGAGGAACACCAGUGGCGAAAGCGCGUGACUGGGCCACAACUGACGCUGAGGAACGAAAGCCAGGGGAGCGAAGGGG
rnacentral:rRNA from 1 species